rnacentral:misc_RNA from 1 species
GCACUAAUUAAGGGAUUCCAACAAAAACUUUGGAUUCACAUGCAAAUGCUAUAUGCACUACUUUCAAUGUAGUGGAAUAACCUUGCUUAUUUCAAUGAUAACUUUGGAAAGUUGAUUUAUUUUGUUGCUUUACUAAACCGUUUAGAAGAAUUGUAUUGUAGACUAGAUUAAGCAUCUUGCUUUGUGUGGGCAAUAUACAGAUGAUGGAAACCACUUUGCUAUACCCAGUCUAUUGUACCAAACCAAUUAAUGAUUGACAUGUAUGCUGAAUGUUUUACACUUAGCCAAUGAAAAUUUGUCAGUACCUGGAGUGAUUUAGGCUCAUUUACUCAUGGCAAUGGUUUAUUGGUUUGGUUAAUACCCUAGCAGGAGCAAAGAACUUUCUAUGAUGGGAAUCACAGUACCUGUUUUAUUUUAUUUUUGAAACUUUUCAAUUGGUGAUCUAAUAAUGCCCUUUGACCUACUUGUUUGCUUGCUAGUUCCCUUAAAUGUCAUGUUCUCCAUCUUUUGCCCUGUUUGUGCAGUUGGCUCUGUGGUGGUGCUACUGGCAGAGAGCAUACCUGGACUACUAUAGUUAAUCACAGUUGUGGGCGAUACAAAGAAGACCAUUUUAAGAAAACUGGGCGUGCAAAAAGGGAUCUGGAGCGCUAUGUUCACUACUAUAACAGAUACAAGGCCCAUUUAGAUUCUUUUAAGCUUGAAUCUGACCUUAAGGAAGUCAUAAAUGGAAAGAUUUCAACACUGGAAGAGAGGGAUUCAAAAUCUAAAGAUUUCACUUGGAUAAUGAAUGGACUACACAUACUCUUCAGAUCAAGGCGGAUUCUUUCAGCUACCUAUCCAUUUGCAUAUUACAUGUUUGGUGAUGAAUUACUCAAAGAUGAAAUGAAGGACAAGGAGAAGGAAAUUAAAAAGAAUUUGUUUGAGAACCAGCAGCAGCAGUUUGAGGGAAAUGUUGAGAAGCUCUCCUUGUUUCUUGGAGAGGAAUUUGAGUUGUACAAUGAUAAUGAAAUUUUGGAUUUGAGAAUGAGGAUCAUUGCUGUUUCAGUGUCUACUGAUAAUCUCUGCCGAAAUUUGUAAGUUUAACUUUUAGCAUUUUCCAAAUCAUUUUCCACUUGAUGCAAUUCAAGCCCAUGAUAUAUGUAAAACUGGAAUAAUUGCAAAAUCCUUAAGAUGAUUGAUUGGCGUGGAGGUGAAGCCUAGGAUCUAUAGUUGAUUUCUUGUUAAUGAAGUGGAUGUGAGAAAAAUCCAAAACAAAUUGCAAUUGAUGCUAUGGAGACAAGAAUAGAGUAAUUCUUAUUUUAUGCAUGUCUUGAAACCCGCAACUGUUACAAAGGUCUUGGGUAUGUGUGUUGACUGCUGAAUGGAUGCAGGUACGAUCAUAUUGAGAAUGAUUUGUUGGGCUCUCUAACGUGGACAGUUCAUAGGAUAGCUCCUUACAAGUCAAGGGGUGUGCUUAGAAGUUCCUAACUUUCAGAGCACUGACAUUAGCAUGAAAGAACAUCAGCAGGAAAGGUAAGGCUACCAGCAGAAAAGGUAUGGCCAUCUCAAAAUUUCCGGUCAAACUUUUCUUGAUGUUGAAAAUUUCAUUACCUACUUAUCGUUCAUUCAUCUGUUCUAUCUUUUACAUAUGUUAAUAGAAUGAUUAAAAUCCAGCUUAUAGGUUUGCAGUUGAUGAUGGUUGCUUGGUACUCCUCAGAAGAUAUGCUAGCAGAAUUCUUUGUGACAUGUCAUUUAUUAUAGUGAUUCAUCAGCAUCUUUCAAGAGGCACAGCUUAAUUGUGGGUUUUUGUCUGGCCACGUUACUCUUUCUAUAGGAAUGCCUUCCUUCGCUAUAUCGCCCACCCCCUUGAUUUUCUUUAGCAAUAUUAUUGCUUAAAGUUGACCACAUGGCCUUUGAUAAGAUUAGUACGCAAAAAUAUAUGUAUUAUUUUUUAAAAUAUUUAACUCUGUAUAUCUAUCAAGGAAUAGGUGAGUCAUUUCCCUUUCUUCCCUUCUAUUCUCUAU